UACGGGGGGGGCUAGCGUUGUUCGGAAUUACUGGGCGUAAAGGGCGCGUAGGCGGCCUACUAAGUCGGACGUGAAAUCCCUCGGCUCAACCGGGGAACUGCGUCCGAUACUGGUGGGCUCGAAUCCGGGAGAGGGAUGUGGAAUUCCAGGUGUAGCGGUGAAAUGCGUAGAUAUCUGGAGGAACACCGGUGGCGAAGGCGGCAUCCCGGACCGGUAUUGACGCUGAUGCGCGAAAGCCAGGGGAGCAAACGGG
rnacentral:rRNA from 1 species